AAAGCAGUUACUCAAGUAAUAUUUAUAAUGGGCAUGAAAGGGGUUUCAUUGUAUUAUCUUCAUAGGAAAACAAGAUUUAAGCUUAAUCAAUUGGGAGCAAAAAUUCAAAAAUUCUGAGACAAAUCAAUAAGUAAUUCACAUUCUCUACUUCUGGAAGAAAAUUUCAAGUAACCUAUUGACAGGUUAGCUGCCUGAUCAAGAAUUAUAAGCACAAUCAUGUCUUGAAUAAAGAUAUUGCUGAAUGAUCUAACUAGAACCAUUUCUCUUUCUAAUUUGAAUUUAAUUUUAACCUAUUGUUGGGCAUGAGUUGAUUGAUUGUGCAAAUAAUCAGCUCCAUUGUGGACCCAGGAAAGGACCCUAUAUAAGACAUUGGUCCAUUUCAACAAUCAGUUCCACUCAUAGCCAUUGUAUUAUCUCCUUUCCUAAUACUUUAGCGGCAACUUUCAAAUCUUGGGUGUCAGACAGAACGUAAUUAGAACAUGACUUUAGAAAAAAAAUUAACAGUAGCUUGCCACUCCUUUUUAGACUAACCACUUCUAUUAGCUGGCAAACACAAAGAUCG
rnacentral:misc_RNA from 1 species